AGCAGCAGCCACGGUAAUACAGAGGGUGCGAGCGUUAAUCGGAUUUACUGGGCGUAAAGCGUGCGUAGGCGGCUUCUUAAGUCGGAUGUGAAAUCCCUGAGCUUAACUUAGGAAUUGCAUUCGAUACUGGGAAGCUAGAGUAUGGGAGAGGAUGGUAGAAUUCCAGGUGUAGCGGUGAAAUGCGUAGAGAUGUGGAGGAAUACCGAUGGCGAAGGCAGCCCCCUGGGCCAAUACUGACGCUCAUGCACGAAAGCGUGGGGAGCAAACAGGAUUAGAUACCCCGGUAGUCCCUGUCUCUUAUAC
rnacentral:rRNA from 1 species